AUAGGAAGUAGGCGAUGUUAUAUAUGUUUAGAAAGAGGAGAGUGAGGAGAAUCGCGUAGUAGUAGUAGUAGUAGUAGUAGUAGUAGUAGUAGUAGUAGUUGUAGUAGAAGUAGUAGUAGUAGUAGUAGUAGGUGGAAAUAGGAAGUAGGCGAUGUUAUAUAUGUUUAGAAAGAGGAGAAUGAGGAGAAUCGUGUAGUAGUAGUAGUAGUAGUAGUAGUAGUAGUAGUAGUAGUAGUAGUAGUAGUAGUAGUAGUAGUAGUGACCUUAUAAGCUAAAAGAACACUUAUUUAAAUCUACCUUAGGCACAAAAUGACUUAGCAUCACACGAAGGAAUAAAAUGAUAAUAAUAAUAAUAAUAAUAAUAAUAAUAAUAAUAAUAAUAAUAAUAAUAAUAAUAAUAAUAAUAAUAAUAACAACAAUGACAAAAACAACAAAAGCUUUCCUCCGUGUUAAGAAUAUCGUACAAGAAAAUGACUUAGAGGGGAACACAGCAAUAAUAGCAAUAAUAAUAAUAAUAAUAAUAAUAAUAAUAAUAAUAAUAAUAAUAAUAAUAAUAAUAAUAAUAAUAAUAAUAAAGUAUGGCAGCUUAUCUCUACACCUGUUUUUUUUACCUUUAUUUUUGUCAUGGCACCAGUGAAAGGGAAGGAGGAGGAGGAGGAGGAGGAGGAGGAGGAGGAGGAGGAGGAAGAAGAAAACGGAAAAGAAAAAAAGAAAAGGAAGAAAAUUAAUAUGAAAAGGAAGAAAAAUAUCAAGAAAAUAAAGAAAAGAGAGAGAGAGAGAGAGAGAGAGAGAGAGAGAGAGAGAGAGAGAGAGAGAGAAAUGAAGAAAGGAAAGAAUAGAACAUAAUUUUAAGAAGGAACAGAGAGAGAGAGAGAAAGAAAAGAAAAUGGAGGGAAAAAAAGAGUGGAGAGAAGGAAGGAAGGAAGAAGAAGGGAAGGGAAGGAAAAAGGAGAGGAAAAAAAAAACGGAGAUAAAAAGAAAGGAAAAGAAAAGAGAAAAAAAAAGAAAAAUAAAUGAAGAAAAAGGUCAGGUAAGGUAAGGUUAGGUAAGGUAAGGUAAGGUUAGGUAAGGUCAGGUAAGGUAAGGUUAGGUUAGGUAAGGUCAGGUAAGGUAAGGUCACGUAAGGUAAGGUAAGGUUAGGUAAGGUAAGGUUAGGUUAGGUAAGGUCAGGUAAGGUAAGGUCAGGUAAGGUUAGGUUAGGUAAGGUAAGGUAAGGUAAGGUAAGGUAAGGUAAGGUUAGAUAAGGUUAGGUAAGGUAAGGUAAGGUUAGGUUAGGUAAGGUAAGGUUCAUUAGGGUAACACAAAGGUAAGCUCCAGUAAGGCAGGGCAGGUGUGUUUGGCUAAUUAGAACUGUCCACCUGUGCUCUCUCUCUCUCUCUCUCUCUCUCUCUCUCUCUCUCUCUCUUAAAAUUACUGUACAAUGUGAAAGUUUGUGAGAUAAAAUUAAGAAAGUUAAGAAAGGAAGAAAGAAAGAAAGGAAGGAAGGAAAGAAGAAAGAAAGAAAGAAAGAAAGGAAGGAAGGAAGGAAGGAAAGAAAGGAAGGAAGGAAGGAAGGGAGGAAAGAAAGAAAGAAAGGAAGGAAGGAAGGAAGGAAGGAAAGAAAGAAAGAAAGGAAGGAAAGAUAAAUAAAGAGAAAAAUUUGACAUAAGUAAAAACAGAAUAAAAAGAAAAGAUAGAAAAAGAAAUAAGACAAAGAGAAAGAAAAAAAAACAGAGAAUAUAAAUAAAAGAGAAAAAUUAGUUAAUGAGAAAAUAAAGAAAGCGAUUGAGAAAGAAAGAAAGAAAGAAAGAAAGAAGGAAAGAGAAAGAAAUGGAAAAAUUGAAAGAUUAGAGAGAAAAUUGGAGAGAAAAUUAAAGAAAAUAAAUAUAAAUGAAAAUUGGAGAUAAAAUUAGAGAAA